GCCCCUGAACGUGAUGGGAGUUUGAUACAGGAUCAGGACGAACGCCCCUUUGGAGGGGUAACACAUGCAAGUCGAGCGAAGAAUAUACAAAGAAAUCUUCGGAUGGAAUUAUAUAUUUCUUAGCGGCGGACGGGUGAGUAACGCGUGAGGAACCUGCCUUGUACUAGGGGAUAGCCUCGGGAAACCGGGAUUAAUACCCUAUGAUACUUGAGAAUCACAUGAUUUUCAAGUCAAAGCGAUUUAGCGGUAUAAGAUGGUCUCGCGUCCCAUUAGCUAGUUGGUGAGGUAAUAGCUCACCAAGGCCACGAUGGGUAGCCGGCCUGAGAGGGUGAACGGCCACACUGGAUUUGAGACACGGUCCAGACUCCUACGGGAGGCAGCAGUGGGGAAUAUUGAACAAUGGAGGAAACUCUGAUGCAGCGACGCCGCGUGAGCGAUGAAGGUUUUCGGAUCGUAAAGCUCUGUCCUAAGGGACGAUAAUGACGGUACCUUAGGAGGAAGCCCCGGCUAACUACGUGCCAGCAGCCGCGGUAAUACGUAGGGGGCGAGCGUUGUCCGGAUUUAUUGGGCGUAAAGGGUGCGUAGGCGGCCUUGUAAGUCAGAUGUGAAAUCUCACGGCUUAACCGUGGUAAGCAUUUGAAACUGUGAGGCUUGAGUACAGGAGAGGAGAGUGGAAUUCCUAGUGUAGCGGUGAAAUGCGUAGAUAUUAGGAGGAAUACCAGUGGCGAAGGCGACUCUCUGGACUGUAACUGACGCUGAGGCACGAAAGCGUGGGGAGCAAACGGGAUUAGAUACCUGGUAGUCCACGCCGUAAACGAUGAGUGGUAGGUGUCGGGGGUCAAACCUCGGGGGCGUAGCUAACACAUUAAGCACUCGGCCUGGGGGGGACGGGGGGCAACACUGAAACUUAAAGGGAUUGGACGGGGGACCCGGAAAGGCGGGGAAAAAAGGGGGUUAAGUUCGAUGUAAAGGGGAACAAACUUCACCUGGGGUUGGAACUCCCCCGGGACGGAACUAGAGGAUGGUUCAUUNCCCUUGGGGGAG
rnacentral:rRNA from 1 species